rnacentral:ncRNA from 2 species
CAUAGUCCGCAUCGUCGUGGUCUUCGCAUUGCACUCUGAUGCGAAGCUAAGAGGGAAGCCGGUGGAGCGCGCUUUGCGCUGAUUCCGGCGCUGCCCCCGCAACUGUGAGCGGCGAGCCGACACCCAUUCAUGUCACUGAGGCGUUUGCCCUUGGGAAGACGGGUGUAGGCUGCGACCCGCGAGCCAGGAGACCUGCCGCGACAUCACGUUCUCC